GAAUAAACUGUAAUAAGUAGCAACUGUGACGAGAGCGCCGAGACAAUGAACAAAACUAUAAUGAAGCGCACGUUGCGCGAUCUUUGCUUAGUGCACUUCCACCGGUAGCAGUGGCAAAUUCAGCAGCGCAACUAAGCUAAAUUGUUUAUCUCUCCCGAAAUAAAUUCGCAUCUAUAUUCUAUAAAUAAUUUAAUGGUUCAACUACUCAUCGGCAACAUUGAUUUGAAGCAUCGCAAGUACGUAGUUAACUUGUCGUGUGCAACAUACCACCGCUGGUGUCUGGAGAGAGAUUCACUCUUCCCUCUGCAAGGACCUCAUUGAACGCCGGCCAACCGCAACCACUGUCGUAUUUGGUAUCGGAAUUGAAGAGGUGUUGUUCGCAACAAAUGCAAACGUAAGUGCCCUUAUCAUAGGUUUUGUUAUAACAUCCUUUUAAUUUAAAAGAAUAAAAAAUUAUUUGCAUGGAUACUAGAAAGUUAGUCUAUUUUCGUUUUAUUUAAAUUUUAAAUUACUCAUAUUAAUUAGUUAAUUUAAAACUGACCUGUAAAGGGUCGUUCCGUGCCUUUCUCCUGUGUUACUUGAUA